rnacentral:rRNA from 1 species
GAGUUUGAUCCUGGCUCAGAUUGAACGCUAGCGGGAUGCCUUACACAUGCAAGUCGAACGGCAGCACGGACUUCGGUCUGGUGGCGAGUGGCGAACGGGUGAGUAAUGUAUCGGAACGUGCCUAGUAGCGGGGGGAUAACUACGCGAAAGCGUAGCUAAUACCGCAUACGCCCUACGGGGAAAGCAGGGGAUCGCAAGACCUUGCACUAUUAGAGCGGCCGAUAUCGGAUUAGCUAGUUGGUGGGGUAACGGCUCACCAAGGCGACGAUCCGUAGCUGGUUUGAGAGGACGACCAGCCACACUGGGACUGAGACACGGCCCAGACUCCUACGGGAGGCAGCAGUGGGGAAUUUUGGACAAUGGGGAAACCCUGAUCCAGCCAUCCCGCGUGUGCGAUGAAGGCCU